GUUGACCCGUGAUCCGGGUUGCGGACAGUGUCUGGUGGGUAGUUUGACUGGGGCGGUCUCCUCCUAAAGAGUAACGGAGGAGCACGAAGGUUGGCUAAUCCUGGUCGGACAUCAGGAGGUUAGUGCAAUGGCAUAAGCCAGCUUGACUGCGAGCGUGACGGCGCGAGCAGGUGCGAAAGCAGGUCAUAGUGAUCCGGUGGUUCUGAAUGGAAGGGCCAUCGCUCAACGGAUAAAAGGUACUCCGGGGAUAACAGGCUGAUACCGCCCAAGAGUUCAUAUCGACGGCGGUGUUUGGCACCUCGAUGUCGGCUCAUCACAUCCUGGGGCUGAAGUAGGUCCCAAGGGUAUGGCUGUUCGCCAUUUAAAGUGGUACGCGAGCUGGGUUUAGAACGUCGUGAGACAGUUCGGUCCCUAUCUGCCGUGGGCGCUGGAGAACUGAGGGGGGCUGCUCCUAGUACGAGAGGACCGGAGUGGACGCAUCACUGGUGUUCGGGUUGUCAUGCCAAUGGCACUGCCCGGUAGCUAAAUGCGGAAGAGAUAAGUGCUGAAAGCAUCUAAGCACGAAACUUGCCCCGAGAUGAGUUCUCCCUGACUCCUUGAGAGUCCUGAAGGAACGUUGAAGACGACGACGUUGAUAGGCCGGGUGUGUAAGCGCAGCGAUGCGUUGAGCUAACCGGUACUAAUGAACCGUGAGGCUUAACCUU
rnacentral:rRNA from 1 species